CCCCCCCCCCCGCCUCAGCCUCGCGGCCGGUGGAGCGGCCUCGGCGGGGAUUCCCCUCCCGAUGGGGCGGCCACGGGCCGGGCUGGGCCGCUUGGCGGUGAGGGGGCGGCGGGAGCCCUCGGCGGGACGAGUGCGGGGGAUGUUGACGGGGCUGUGCAACGCUCCUCCUCUCGGCCUUGAUGCCUUCCACCCCGUGUGAAGCCUUUUGACUCCACUGCUUUACUUUCACCCAGAGUCCAGAGAAGAUCCAUGACGCUGGAACGGUGUGAUUGAAAGUUAGGAUUUCACUAACAGGGGAUGGAGGACCUUCCAGAAUGCCGCUUGCAGCAGUGGAAUGACUGACCCCCUUGGAGAAACAACUGCCCACAUGGAAGUUGCUUACAGUGAUCAAGGAACAGAUGGCGGAGUCUGAGGCUCAUCACUCUUUCUUAAUUAAGGGCCAGCUUAAAGUGUGGUUUGAGGACUCCAAAAAAGCACUGCAAUUCCUCGGUGUGUGGAUGCGCAAUUCAGAGACAACAGCAAAGUUAACGGCCAAGCUCCUUAUUCAGCCUUAGACAACCUUCUUAUGAAGAUCAACGAGCAAUCUUCAAGCUG
rnacentral:lncRNA from 1 species